UCAUAGCAUAAAAGUUCGGUAUUGUAAUUUUAACUUUUAAAUUGAAUUGGCGAUGCUCCAAAGCUAAUUCAAAUCAGCCAUGGUAUAAAAAAACUGGAACGAAAUAGUAUAUUUUUUGUGAAACAAUAAAUAUUCUAAAAUGCCUCGAAUUUUCAUUUUUUUGCUUUAUGUAGCAUUUUUUGUAAUGCUUGAUGCUCGACCAAAGAUCGCUCGUUUGAAAGAUUGGAAAAAAAAUUCAGAACUUGUCAAUUUUAACAGAUUGCAUGACCAUUCAUUGGGGCAAAAACUUGUUAACAAGAUAAAUAAACCUUUUGAUCAACUGAAAAGUCGUGUUAAAAAAGAUGCUUUUUCAAAAAAGGAAGAAACUCCACCAAAAGGAUGAUACUUGAUUAGUUUUAAUUAGAGUAUGGGAAAAAGAAUCUUUAAAACGAAAAUCAACGAUGAAAACAACAAGAGCAAUAAUUUUUAAUACUGGUUUUAUUUACGGAAUAUUUAUUAUUUCUCA